AUGAGGAGUAAAUGAAAAAAUGCACAAAAAGCGCUCAGGCAUACUAUUAUCCUAAUCUAUGUGUUUUUAUCAUCAUUAUUAUUAUUACCGUUGUGGUACUUACAUUGAGUGGAGGAGACAGAAAUUGUGAACAAGUUUUCUAUGGGCCGAAAGAGUAAUCUGCUAAAAUGAAGUGUGGAGAAGCACAGUGAUGUGGUGUGUGUGUGUGAUUCCAAGACGGGGUGGAGAACUGAUCUAUUCGAAGUGGGCUGUGCAGAAUGAGCAGGAUUUCUGUGAGGGAACAAAAUGGAGAUCGACAUUCCAGGACUAGGGAUCAGGAGAAGCAAAGCACAGAAUUGUGAAAUCUCCUGGAUCAUUCAGGACUCUGAAUUCUGAAUUCUUUGAAUUCUGAAUUAGAAACGUGGAAAAUCUUUGCUGCUGAUGGGAUGGCAUAAGUUUUCAGUGUCAAGCUUUCUGGCCAUACACAGUGAAGCUAGAAUUCCUCUACAUAUAAUCCGACAGCAGUUGCAGACAAAUCCAGCUAAUACAGGUACAUAGUGGCUUCCCAGAAAAUUUUUUUAAGUCAGUCGGUCCAGGGGAAAUGAUUUUAAAUGCUUUAAAAUCAAUUUGUCUCUAAAGAGAGGGUGAUCAGAGUUCUCUGUUCAAUUUCCAGGAAUCUGUGGGGCUGGUUCCAAACCUCGCUCAUGCUCAGCCUACGCAACAGCGGAACUGAAGCUGAACCUCUUGACUGAAAUAGAACCAGCGAGAAAGGCAGUCCUCCUCGUUUCCUAGAGAGUACACACUGAACGCGUGGUCGGAUGGAGGGUACUAGGAAGUGUCUCUCCAAGGACCAGGAGAAACACUUACUUUUCAAAUUCCUUAUUCUAACUCUGUGCGGCGUAGACCCUUACUCCUCACAGGGAUUCUUGAGGCGCACGUCUGGACUUGUUAUUUCUCUGAAUCUUAGAGUCUUAGAUCCGAAAACGGCCAGGAAUGCGAACAGUAGAGAGAGAAAAUUGGUCCCUGGAUUGAUGCCUUUGAUGGAAUCAAAUUGAAGGUGAUGAAGCAUUGAACGAAUUAGCACCUAGCAGGAGGGUAGCCUUGCUCUAUGUCUCUGAGGGUUAAAGCUGUCACAGAGUAGUGAGUCUCCAUCAAACUGUGGCCAUGUUGCCCUCAGAGAUCCAGGACGGGUGGGAAUACAUAGUCCUGAUAGUGGAGAGAAGAUUACUGCUGUUGCGAGGGACUGAGAAAGAGACACAGGCAGAGAGCUCAGACUGACGCAGCAGGUGAGAAAAUAGGCUCCUAGCUUGGGAUAUAUGGAGGAACAGGGGAAAGUGAGGCUUUAGCCAGGAGAAAGAGUAGGGGGCGACUGUGUUGGUUCUGCUCGCUUGAGAAUCUUUUUUCUUAGUCAUUUGCCUAAAGUAAUCUCCCCAGGAAAUAACAUCUGGUAAUUGCUAAAGUAUUGCAACUAAGGAUGUUGAGAUACUACUGCAUUAAUUUUUUAUUUUUAUUUUCUUUUAGAAGGUAGAGAAGGCCGUGUGAAGGUAAAGCAGAGAUUUGUAGAUGUUGACCUUGAAAACUGGAGAGAUGUGGCCACAAGCCAAGGUAUGCGAAUAGUGGAAGCUGAAAGAAUCAAGGAACCCAAUUUUCCCCUAGAGUCUUCAGAGGGAGCUGGGCCCCGAGGAUGCCUUGAUUUUGGCAGAUGAUACUCGUUGGACGUCUGGCGUCCAGAAUUGUAAGAGUAUACGUUUCCGUUGUUUUAAGCCACGCAGUUUGUGGUAAUUUGUUACAGCAGCCACAGGAAACUAACACCCAGGCAGUGCACAAUGAAUUCCAUAUGAACAAUUCCAGUAUAGGAAAUUGUUAGAAAGCUUAUUUUCAUUGGAAUAUUGGAUUAAAGCGCUUACCAGCAUUGAAUUUCUUGGAGAUGAAUGGCAAAACAAACUCUAGCAUUAGCUUUCUUUAUUGCGACUUUAUUUCUGACAUAAUCUGCACAAUGUGAUUUCAUUUUAUGACUCUGUCUGAGUCAAAACUUUUGGGUCAGAGAGGUCCAGG
rnacentral:lncRNA from 1 species